AUACCUUUCUCGGCCUUUUGGCUAAGAUCAAGUGUAGUAUCUGUUCUUAUCAGUUUAAUAUCUGAUACGUGGACCAAUGGUCCACACGAUAUUAAAUUAAUUUCUUUAGGGAGAGAGUCCAUCACAAUAGCUUGCUAUUGGGGCUCUUGAGCGUUGCCCAAGCGUUGCACUACAGCAUGGGCCCGGCGCAUCCCAC